GCCUCGUUAGCUCAGUUGGCUUAGAGCGUUCGGCUUUUAACCGAAAUGUCGGGGGUUCGACCCCCCCACGAGGCG
rnacentral:tRNA from 4 species